AGAGUUUGAUCCUGGCUCAGGAUGAACGCUGGCGGCGUGCUUAACACAUGCAAGUCGAACGAACCUUCGGGUUAGUGGCGGACGGGUGAGUAACGCGUGGGAAUCUGCCCUCAGGAGGGGGAUAACGGCUGGAAACGGCCGCUAAUACCCCAUAUGCCGAGAGGUGAAAUGAAUUUCGCCUGAGGAUGAGCCCGCGUCUGAUUAGCUUGUUGGUGAGGUAAUGGCUCACCAAGGCUUCGAUCAGUAGCUGGUCUGAGAGGAUGAUCAGCCACACUGGGACUGAGACACGGCCCAGACUCCUACGGGAGGCAGCAGUGGGGAAUUUUCCGCAAUGGGCGCAAGCCUGACGGAGCAACGCCGCGUGAGGGAUGAAGGCCUCUGGGCUGUAAACCUCUUUUCUCAAGGAAGAAGAUCUGACGGUACUUGAGGAAUAAGCCACGGCUAAUUCCGUGCCAGCAGCCCGCGGUAAUACGGGAGUGGCAAGCGUUAUCCGGAAUUAUUGGGCGUAAAGCGUCCGCAGGCGGCCUUUCAAGUCUGCUGUUAAAACGUGGAGCUUAACUCCAUCAAGGCAGUGGAAACUGUUGGGCUUGAGUGUGGUAGGGGCAGAGGGAAUUCCCGGUGUAGCGGUGAAAUGCGUAGAUAUCGGGAAGAACACCCAGUGGCGAAGGCGCUCUGCUGGGCCAUAACUGACGCUCAUGGACGAAAGCCAGGGGAGCGAAAGGGAUUAGAUACCCCUGUAGUCCUGGCCGUAAACGAUGAACACUAGGUGUCGGGGGAAUCGACCCCUUCGGUGUCGUAGCCAACGCGUUAAGUGUUCCGCCUGGGGAGUACGCACGCAAGUGUGAAACUCAAAGGAAUUGACGGGGGCCCGCACAAGCGGUGGAGUAUGUGGUUUAAUUCGAUGCAACGCGAAGAACCUUACCAGGGUUUGACAUCCUGCGAACCUCUAAGAGAUUGGAGGGUGCCUUCGGGAACGCAGUGACAGGUGGUGCAUGGCUGUCGUCAGCUCGUGUCGUGAGAUGUUGGGUUAAGUCCCGCAACGAGCGCAACCCACGUUUUUAGUUGCCAACAUUCAGUUGGGCACUCUAGAGAGACCGCCGGUGAUAAACCGGAGGAAGGUGUGGAUGACGUCAAGUCAUCAUGCCCCUUACAUCCUGGGCUACACGCGUACUACAAUGCUACGGACAAAGGGCAGCAAGCUCGCGAGAGCAAGCAAAUCCCAUAAACCGUGGCUCAGUUCAGAUCGUAGGCUGCAACUCGCCUACGUGAAGUAGGAAUCGCUAGUAAUCGCAGGUCAGCAUACUGCGGUGAAUACGUUCCCGGGCCUUGUACACACCGCCCGUCACACCAUGGAAGUUGGCCACGCCCGAAGUCGUUACUCCAACCCUUGUGGAGGAGGACGCCGAAGGUGGGGCUGAUGACUGGGGUGAAGUCGUAACAAGGUA
rnacentral:rRNA from 1 species